CCCUUAGAUGUUCUGGGCCGCACGCGCGCUACACUGAUGCAUUCAACGAGUCUAAAACCUGCUCUGAUAGGGGUGGGUAAUCUUUUGAAUGUGCAUCGUGAUUGGGAUAGAUGAUUGCAAUUUUUCAUCUUCAACGAGGAAUGCCUAGUAAACGCAAGUCAUCAGCUUGCAUUGAUUACGUCCCUGCCCUUUGUACACACCGCCCGUCGCACCUACCGAUUGAAUGGUCCGGUGAAGCCUCGGGAUUGUGGCCAGUUCACUUUAUUGGGAGUUGGCUGUGAGAACUUGUCUAAACCUUAUCAUUUAGAGGAAGGUGAAGUCGUAACA
rnacentral:rRNA from 1 species